rnacentral:rRNA from 1 species
AAGAAACCAACAGGGAUUGCCCCAGUAGCGGCGAGUGAAGCGGCAAGAGCUCAGAUUUGAAAUCGUGUUUCGGCACGAGUUGUAGAGUGUAGGCGGGAGUCUCUGUGGAGCGCGGUGUCCAAGUCCCUUGGAACAGGGUGCCUGAGAGGGUGAGAGCCCCGUAGGGUGCUGCGCGAAGCUUUUGAGGCCCUGCUGACGAGUCGAGUUGUUUGGGAAUGCAGCUCCAAGCGGGUGGUAAAUUCCAUCUAAGGCUAAAUAUUGGCGAGAGACCGAUAGCGAACAAGUACUGCGAAGGAAAGAUGAAAAGCACUUUGAAAAGAGAGUGAAACAGCACGUGAAAUUGUUGAAAGGGAAGGGUAUUGGGCUCGACAUGGGGGGUGCGCACCGCUGUCUCUUGUAGGCGGCGCUCUGGGCGCCUUCUGGGCCAGCAUCGGUUCCUGCUGCGGGAGAAGGAGCUCCGGAAAGUGGCUCUUCGGAGUGUUAUAGCCGGGGCCAGAUGCCGCGUGUGGGGACCGAGGACUGCGGCUUCUGUCUCGGAUGCUGGCAUAACGGCGCAAUACCGCCCGUCUUGAAACACGGACC